rnacentral:lncRNA from 1 species
UGACCUGGAGCAGGAGGAGGUUGAAGAUUUCCUGGCCGAGGUGAUGGACAACGAGUUCGACACGGUGGUGGAGGACGGCAGCCUGCAGCAGGUGGGCUCCCAGUAUGGACCAGUAUGGACCAGUAUGGAGCAGAGAGCUCCCAACAGCUGGCCAGCCUCCCCCAGGCGCUCCCAGUACAGCCCAGUUUGUCCUCGGGCUGCUCUCAGCAUCUUCUAGUGGCCUUUGUCUCUUCCUGGUACCGUUGGUCCCUUCCAAGUUCUCCCAGUAGCUCCCAGUAUAAACCAGUAUGGACAAGGAUGUUCCCAGCAGCCACUCCCAGUUCAUCCCAUUGCAUCCCCAGGCUGUUCUCACCAUCCUUUGGUGCUCCCAGCGCCUCCCAGUAUAGACCAGUCUGUUCUCAGGGCUCUUUUACUUCCUCCCAGUACAUCCCAGUCCCACACAUCGCCCCUCAGCACCCCCAGUCCCUCCCAGUGCCCUCCCCAGUGGUUCCCAGUCCAUCCCAGUCCCCUCCCUGGUGGUUCCCAGUCCUUCCCAGUGAUCCCCAGUCCAUCCCAGUCCCCUCCCCAGUGAUCCCCAGUCCAUCCCAGUCCCCUCCCCAGUGGUUCCCAGUCCAUCCCAGUCCCCUCCCCAGUGGUUCCCAGUCCCCUCCCUGGUGGUUCCCAGUCCCUCCCCAGUGGUUCCCAGUCCAUCCCAGUGCCCUCCCAGUGGUUCCCAGUCCAUCCCAGUGCCCUCCCAGUGGUUCCCAGUCCCUCCCAGUGGUUCCCAGUCCAUCCCAGUGUCCCCCUGCAGGUGAGCCGAGAGCUGGUGACCCUUUUUGCCCGGAACCCCCCGGAGAGAGGGGAGGAGGAGGAAGAGGAGGAGAGCGGCGAGGAAGAGGAGGAGGUGAGGGGGUGACUUCAUUGGGAUGAUGUCAUGGGCAGCUGAUGAUGUCAUUGCUGGGGGGGCAUUGGAGUGGGAGGGAGCUGGUGAUGUCAUCAAAGCGGGUGGGGAUGUGGUGAUGACAUCAUGGGGUGACACUGAUGAUGUAAUCAAAUGGGGGUGUAGACUCCCUGGGAAGCUCAAGUGAGGGGAGCUGGAGGCUCCAGUGAUGAUGUCAUACGAUGAUGAUGUCAUCAGAGCAGGUGGGGAUGUGGUGAUGACAUCAUGGGGUGUAACUGCAGAGCAAUACUGAUGAUGUAAUUAAAUUGGGGAGUGGAGACUUCCCAGGACCCCCAAGUGAGGAGGGACUAGGGGGUGAUGAUGUCAUUCCUGAUGAUGUCAUUCAGUCCUGAUGAUGUG